rnacentral:rRNA from 1 species
GUCGAGGGGCAGCAUGAAGUUUGCUUGCAAACUUUGAUGGCGACCGGCGCACGGGUGAGUAACGCGUAUCCAACCUUCCCUAUAGUAGAGAAUAGCCCGGCGAAAGUCGGAUUAAUGCUCUAUGUUAUUCAAAGCGGACAUCUAAUUUGAAUCAAAGGUUCACCGCUAUAGGAUGGGGAUGCGUCUGAUUAGCUUGAUGGCGGGGUAACGGCCCACCAUGGCGACGAUCAGUAGGGGUUCCGAGAGGAAGGUCCCCCACAUUGGAACUGAGACACGGUCCAAACUCCUACGGGAGGCAGCAGUGAGGAAUAUUGGUCAAUGGGCGAGAGCCUGAACCAGCCAAGUAGCGUGCAGGAUGACGGCCCUAUGGGUUGUAAACUGCUUUUAUGCGGGGAUAAAGUCGGCUACGCGUAGCCGUUUGUAGGUACCGCAUGAAUAAGGACCGGCUAAUUCCGUGCCAGCAGCCGCGGUAAUACGGAAGGUCCGGGCGUUAUCCGGAUUUAUUGGGUUUAAAGGGAGCGCAGGCCGGAGGUCAAGCGUGACGUGAAAUGUAGGGGCUCAACCUUUGAAUUGCGUCGCGAACUGGUUUCCUUGAGUGAGUACGACGUCAGCGGAAUUCGUGGUGUAGCGGUGAAAUGCUUAGAUAUCACGAAGAACCCCGAUUGCGAAGGCAGCUGACGAGUCCUUUACUGACGCUAAAGCUCGAAGGUGCGGGUAUCGAACAGGAUUAGAUACCCUGGUAGUCCGCACGGUAAACGAUGGAUGCCCGCUGUUUGCGAUAUAUUGUAAGCGGCCAAGCGAAAGCGUUAAGCAUCCCACCUGGGGAGUACGCCGGCAACGGUGAAACUCAAAGGAAUUGACGGGGGCCCGCACAAGCGGAGGAACAUGUGGUUUAAUUCGAUGAUACGCGAGGAACCUUACCCGGGCUUGAACUGCAGGAGAACGAUCCAGAGAUGGUGAGGCCCUUCGGGGCUCCUGUGGAGGUGCUGCAUGGUUGUCGUCAGCUCGUGCCGUGAGGUGUCGGCUUAAGUGCCAUAACGAGCGCAACCCCUUUCGCCAGUUGCCAUCAGGUGAUGCUGGGCACU